rnacentral:rRNA from 1 species
CGCCUUGCCAGCCCCGCUCAGAAACUUAAAUGAAUUGACCGGGGGCCCGCACAAGCGGUGGAGCAUGUGGUUUAAUUCGAUGAUACGCGAGGAACCUUACCUGGGCUCAAAUGUAUGUUGACGUAUUCUGAAAGGGAUACUUCUUCGGACAAUAUACAAGGUGCUGCAUGGUUGUCGUCAGCUCGUGCCGUGAGGUGUCGGGUUAAGUCCCAUAACGAGCGCAACCCCUAUCAUUAGUUGCCAGCGGGUCAUGCCGGGGACUCUAGCGGAACUGCCAGCGUAAGCUGCGAGGAAGGUGGGGAUGACGUCAAAUCAGCACGGCCCUUACGUCCAGGGCUACACACGUGUUACAAUGGCCAGUACAGAGGGCAGCCACCCCGCGAGGGGGCGCUAAUCCUAAAAGCUGGUCCCAGUUCGGAUCGGAGUCUGCAACCCGACUCCGUGAAGCUGGAUUCGCUAGUAAUCGCGCAUCAGCCACGGCGCGGUGAAUACGUUCCCGGGCCUU